rnacentral:rRNA from 1 species
GUCGAGCGAGAAAGUUCCUUCGGGAACUGGACAGCGGCGAAAGGGAGAGUAACGCGUAGAUAUCUACCUCGAGGACCGGGAUAGCGGCGGGAAACUGCCGGUAAUACCGGAUAACAUCUCAGGAUCAAAGGUGUGAUUCCGCCUCGAGAUGAGUCUGCGUCCUAUUAAUGCUUGUUGGUGAGGUAAUGGCUCACCAAGGCGAAGAUGGGUACCGGGUGUGAGAGCAUGGCCCGGCUCACUGGGACUGAGACACUGCCCAGACACCUACGGGUGGCUGCAGUCGAGAAUCUUCGGCAAUGGGCGAAAGCCUGACCGAGCGACGCCGCGUGCGGGAUGAAGGCCCUCGGGUUGUAAACCGCUGUCAGUAGGGAGCAAAUCUCUUGGGGUUAUCCCCUUGAGUUGAGCGAUCUUCAGAGGAAGUACGGGCUAAGUUCGUGCCAGCAGCCGCGGUAAGACGAACCGUACGAACGUUAUUCGGAAUCACUGGGCUUAAAGAGUCCGUAGGCGGCCGUGUAGGUGGGAUGUGAAAGCCCUCGUCUCAACCGAGGAAUUGCGUUCCAAACCACAUGGCUUGAGGAGGAUAGAGGUGAGCGGAACUGAUGGUGGAGCGGUGAAAUGCGUUGAUAUCAUCAGGAACACCAGAGGCGAAGGCGGCUCACUGGGUCCUUUCUGACGCUGAGGGACGAAAGCUAGGGGAGCAAACGGGAUUAGAUACCCCGGUAGUCCUAGCUGUAAACGAUGAGCACUAGAUCGAGGGGACUUCCACAUCUUCUCGGUCGUAGCGAAAGUGUUAAGUGCUCCGCCUGGGGAGUAUGGUCGCAAG